ACAGAUUUAAAGGCAGUGUCUCAAACUACCUGUCAAUUAGAUUUUACUUGAUUCUAAGCUGAAGCUUUCAGUGCAAUUGUCCUAAUACUUCUUUGUGUCAGAAUCUACCCUAUUACACACUUCCUCACUAGAAAAGGUGAAAUUAAUAAUCUGUUUCAGUAUUUUUUGUCUUUAUUGAAUUUUCUUUCAGACACUGAGGAAUGGAUUUUGAUUUUUAAUGAGAUAUCAAAUUCUUUCUGGCAAAGUAAGCAGUAACUCUACAUGUCUCUAUAAAUAAAGACUUAAUAUGUUGUUAUGCCAUCUCCCACAGACUCAAAACAACAGGCUGAUAUUGUGCUCAAUGUUCUCACCUGUCAGCCAUGUUGACUACUUUGCACUGAUGAGGUGCUCUUAAGAGACAUAAGUGCCUCUAAGCCUGCACUAACUGAUCCUAAGGACCUGGCCCUCUGGCUAUUACUUACAUCUAUCUGAUACUAUCAUUUGACUGUGGAGUAGUUUUUCUGCAGAAUACUGAAUGGACUGCAAUAAUGUCCUGUCUUCACAAGAUGAACAUAUGCCUGGGAGUACGUGGGCUCAAGUUCCCUCAAGCAAGACUCUUCUAUAGAGGGUGAGUGCUCUGUUGAAGGAACAAUACUGUGAUGCUGUCACCUCUUUACACUAUUUUUCUUGUUCAAUGUCUGUUUUUUCUUGUCCAGCAUAAAAUCAGUUGAUAUCUAUUUUAUCAGGCUCUGUCGGUCAAGCCAAUGGAAAACAUCUAGUUCUUAAAUCUUUACAUAAUUUGGGUGUGAGCUGAGUUUUCAGUUACUGGGCAGUACCAGGAGGCACAAUUGCAUGUGUGUAAACAGAGCCACCCAAUGAACUCUACUGUCAGAAAUGUAAACGUAAGGGAUUCAGUUAAUGUCAAAGUUUAUUGGAAACUGAGCAAAGAUUCUGAGACUUAACUGUUCUCAGAGGGUGGGAGUGUCAACCUGCUGGAGGGUAGGAAGGCUCUGCAAAGGGAUCUGGACAGGUUGUAUUGAUGGACUGAGGCCAAUUGUAUGAGGUUCAAUUAGACCAAGCACUGGGUCCUGCACUGUGGCCACAACAAACUCAUGCAGUGCUACAGGCUGGGGGAAGAGCAACUGGAAAACCGCUGAGCAGAAAAGGAUCUGAGGGUGUUGGUGAACAGCAGCUGAAAAUGAGCCAGCAGUGUGCCCAGGUGGCCAAGAAAGCCAAUGGCCUCCAGGUCCAUAUCAGAAAUAUCUCUAUUUCUGAUACAGACUAGCAGGACAAGGGAAAGCGAUUCCCCCCCUGUACUCAGC